CAUCACAUAUUUCAUUUUCAUAAGAUAACCGAUAACCUAAAAAUUUAGUAAAAAUUUUGAUUGGAAAAAAAUGCAUCGAUAAGGGGGUGUGGGAAAUGGAAAUUAGUGGCUUUUCUGCUGUACUGUCUGCUAGUCAAAUCACACAACACUUUUUUCUAUGCUGCUAGUUUUUGCUCUGGGCUCUGGCUGGAUCUCUUGUUUAAACAAUUUUAAUCAGCUGAAAGUGGCCUACAAAAAAAAACCAAGAAGUAAAUGUAUAGCCUUGUGGCUAUGAAAGGCAAAAGAGAGAUAUAAAAAGUGUAUUGGCUAGUUGGAAGAAAGUCCACAUUGUCCAUGCAUAAUAAGUUAUUACUUUAUCAACAAAUAUCAAGAAGAUAGCAGGGUCACGAGCAACAACUUCAUAAGUUCAAGAAUAUCGAGGAAAUCCAGCUCCUCGAUACUACUGGGCAAACUAGAAGAUUGAAGAGGACAAAGCCUUUUGAACUAGUUUGAGUGAUAGGUGAUAGUGAAAAACGGAGCAUAGUGCUUGUGUGCUGUGCCUGUGUAUGUUAGAAUAGUGCACGAUCUUGUUAGAUUAGAUAAGAGACGCUAUGGG